rnacentral:rRNA from 1 species
GACGUAGGGCGCGAGCGUUGUCCGGAUUUAUUGGGCGUAAAGAGCUCGUAGGCGGUUUGUCACGUCGGAUGUGAAAUCCCGGGGCUUAACCUCGGGUCUGCAUUCGAUACGGGCUGACUAGAGUUCGGUAGGGGAGACUGGAAUUCCUGGUGUAGCGGUGAAAUGCGCAGAUAUCAGGAGGAACACCGGUGGCGAAGGCGGGUCUCUGGGCCGAUACUGACGCUGAGGAGCGAAAGCGUGGGGAGCGAACAGG